AGAAAAAUGUGACUUUUAAAUUUAAUAUUUCCAAAAUAUCGGGAUUAAAAGCUCCCGAUAUUUUUGAAUUUCUAUAAUUUAAUUUAUUUUACAAUUUCUUGUUUUAAAUACUUAAAUUUUAAGUUGCCUUUGGCUGGAGUAUAAUGGGUCAAGGCGAUGCAAUGCCGUAUUGUCCGGCUGCUCACUGUUUAUGGAGGCGCUAAGAUGAUAAGAAUGCAAAGUUCUUAGUUCAAAGUUAUAAACUUCUGAUAUGGUGCUUGCAGCGCGAUCAAGAGGUGUAUAGCAGACAGAAUUCGAAUUCAGUGUCCAGUUCGAAAAUAUAAAUCAACAUGAAUUUACUGAUCGUCCUGUUUGCCUUGGUGGCCGUAGUUACUGCCCGUUAUUAUUAUAGGUUUGAACCUGAAAGUGAUUGUUGUCCAGGAUACCGAUACGAAAGGGAUUUAUCUCAAAAGCCGUGCUCAACAAGCAAUUGCAAUCCCUGGGGGUAGGGGGCAUAAAACGUAAAAGAUAUUGCUUUCAAAAAAAUGUGCUAAUUAUAAAAUAAACUCUUGUGCACAAAUGAUAGCAUUAUAUAAAUAUUUUUGUUAAUUAAUUGUUAAAUUUUAAGUUGGAUCUGGCCAGAGAACGAUGCAAAUCAACAAGUGAGUGAGGGUCAAGGCAAUUCACUUUAUAGAGGCAAUAAGAUGAUAAGGCGGUUGAAUCUCUUCCAAGUGUUUGCUCUUUCGAGGGUGCAAUUGUUGAACAAGUUUGUGAAAAUCUAUAAUAAAUAUGUUGUGACCUAA